rnacentral:rRNA from 1 species
AAUAGUCGAAAGACUGAACCAGCAACUUGGAAGAAUGGAAAAUGAAAGUCGUAUAAAGUUCUAGAUAAAAUAAAGAGAAUGACGAUUUUUUAUCUAUAAGUCUUGACCAAAUUACGUGCCAGCAGUCGCGGUAAUACGUAAAAGACAAGUGUUAUUCAUCUUUAAUUGGUAUAAAGGGUACCUAGACAGAUUACUAAGCCUUAAUAGGAACUAGUUUUCUAGAGUUUUAUGUGGGAAUAUACGAAUUACCAGAGGAGGGACAAAAUCCUAUUAUACUGGUAGGACGGGUAACGGCGAAGGCUUUAUUCUAAGUAAAAACUGACGUUGAGGGACGAAGCCUUGGGUAGCGAUAAGGAUUCGAUACCCUAGUAGUCCUUGGAGAAAAUUAUGAGUGCCAUAGGCUAGAUAAAUUUGGCCUAUAAAUGAAAGUGUAAGCACUCCACCUCAUGACUAAGGCGGAAAUGCACAAAUUGAAAUCAUUAGACCGUUUCUGAAACCAGUAGUGAAGUAUGUUAUUUAAUUCGAUGAUCCGCGAAAAACCUUACCACGCCUUGAAUAUUUUUAUACAAGUGCUGCACGGCUGUCUUCAGUUAAUGUCGUGAGAUUUUGGUUAAUUCCUUUAAUUAACGAAAACCCUAGCUUUAUUUAUAUUUAAAGUGUUUUUCUAUAAAUGGAAAUAAUAACAGGGACCAAGACAAGUCAUCAUGGCCUUAAUAGCG